GAUGGAGAAGGGCUAGCAGUCAAGGGGAGAGGUAACUAGAAUGUGCAGAGGUGUUCUCCCUGCAUAAUCUGCUCUCAGGAAAUGUUAGAUGCAGCAGAAAACUCCUGAAAACUUCUUUCCAUACCUGUGGGGAGGGGGGAAAAGUAUUAACCCUGCUCUCCUGCUUUAAGUGCAUCCAUGAAGCAAGGCUAGAGAGAAUCAGUGCAGUUCUGCCAGCUCUUCUGGGCAGGCUUAUCAGCAAGAACUGCAUGAAUGGAAUAUUACCCAAUUUGUCUGAUCACUCCUAUCCAGACAUCCUUCAUGCUUUGCAAACGGCAAUGGCCAGAGGACCUUGGGAAGCAGCAGGACCUGGAGCCCUCAGUGCUCCAUAGGGGAAAACAGCCACCAGCACGAGGAAAGGUGCAUUUUUGGGACAGCCCUGAUGUCAGUAGCCAAGGUGUGAGGGGUACCCUGGCUCCUUCCCCCGUGGAGUUGCUUUAAUUUCCAUGCUAGCAUUCAGCAAACAUCUGCUGAGCUUCUCUGAGAGGAGAGACCUUGCUCUUCCACAUGAAAUAGCUUUCACAUUUCCCCAGCCUUUUUCCAAAAAGGCCACAUCGCACAGAAAUUAUGCAAAAGGUGUUGAAUCCAAAAACGUUUCCCUUCCUUUGGUUUGGAGCUGUCCUCAGCCACGCAGCAGCUGUGGCAGAGCCAUUCUCAGGAGUUUAUGGCCCUGUAACGAUGUGGUUUAAUGCCUCUUGCUGGAAGGGGCUGUUUGGGGAUGAUCAGCUCUGGCCAUUGCAGAUUAAAUAUCCAUGGAUGUUGAAGAGGAUGAGUGGUGCCAACUCCAUUCUCAAACCUAAAUCUAUGCCCUGCAGAACUGUCCCCUUGGUCGUUGUGUCUCAGCACCCUCUCCAGCCCCAGGGAAGGGCAGACCAAGCCUUUAUCUCCUUCUCCAAACUAGUGCUGCCUUCCCCUGGUGGUGAUAUCUCUGUGGAGUUCCCCUGCUCUCUGCCACUCCUGGGCUUGCUCCUGCUCCCUGCUGCUUGUUUGGAACAAAAUUUAUUACAAUAUCAAUAAUGUGACUUGUAUACAAGGUCUAGCACUGCUACAUGCAAGCGCUCUGUGUAAAUCAUCAGCAUCGGCACCCUGGUAAUUGCCCUGUAAACCGAGAGGAAUUAUUUUGCUGUCUGCAGCAAUGAAACUUUCCUUUCUGCUCCGCAAAUGGGUAUCGCUGACACUUACACUAAUCACACCACAGCUCCCACAUGCGCUCGUGCUUCCACCCCUCACGCUCCUCCUCGCUGCCAAGCACGCAGCGUUUGCAUGGCGCAGGCACUGCUGGGCACGCCUCUGCUUUUGCACACCCACUUUAUUUAACACACCCACUGGUGUGCAUGGAUGCCACCGCUCACAGACACACGUCCUGCUGGUAGGUGUCACCUGAAGCGCACACACAUCCACCCCAUUCACUCCUGCUUGGAUGCCCUCGCAUCAACCAAAGCUUUUGCCCCACGAGGGCUUGGAGACAAAUGCUGCAGGCAGCCUCUUGCACACGUCUGUGCCCUUAAUUGGCCCCUGCGCUGUCCUUGAGUGUCUGUGCACUCAGCUUUAUGUUCAUGGUAUCUUUCCCACAGCUUAAAACGCCCAAGCACCCAUGUUCACUUGAAGCCCCUGUCCCUGCAGAUGUGCUUCCAGCUUUUUACCUUGCCUGGGUCCUGCUGGCACACACCCACAUGCUGUACCCACACUUGAGGCUGCUCCCUCCCCACCUCUCCAAUGUUUUCUCCUCCUGGCACCUCUCCCACUCCCCCCACCCUCCCUCUUUGCCAUCUCUCAUCGGUUCCUGACUCCCAUUCUCGUGCCAUGAAAUUGUCGACCCCAGGCAGUGGCUCUCACACAGCCUGGCGAUGAAGCCAGGCUUAUCCCAAAUGAGGAGGGCUUUGCCCAAUCCAUUUAAAGCCAAAUGCGCCUGCUCCGUUUUCCUGCAGAAUCGCUUCCCUUCAAAAAGGAAAAUGGGGUGUCUGUGAGCGGUCCUGCAGGGAGGGGGGCAGGAGCUGGCUCCUCUGCAAAGCACGGCUGGGCAGCGUGAUGCGCACCUGGCCCUGGCUGCGUUAUCCGAGCAGGAUCCAGCACAUCCAGCCCGUGCUGGCAGCAAAGGGACACCCUCCCUCCCCUUGCCAGCCACGAACCCGCACAGCCUGCUGCCUGCCCAGCGGAUACGGCGAUUUAGCAAGAAGCAGGAGCAAGCCUCAUCUCGCUCCUGCAGCACGAAGCCACAGCGCGGUGCGCACGUGUGAUGGGAGCCCAGUGGCACCAGCACAGCCAGCAGGACAGGGGACACGGCCAACCCACAGAUCAGUGCCAAGAGCGGUCACAGCUGCAGCAGCAAUGGCCGAGACACCCGGACCCCAUCCCCAGCGCAGAGGGACUUUUAUCACGGGACAGAGGAAGCCAGGGCUGCGCAGCUCGUCGCCACUUGGCUCGAGGCACAGCGAAGGAGCAGCGAGUGCCAAGCACUGGGAUGUGGAGAUGCAUCUUCUCAGACCAGGAUUGAGAGCAGCAAACUCUGUUCCCAUGGUUACUGAGCAGCUACCCAUCAGGCCCCAUCUCACAUCACUAACUCUGCCACUUAAUUAACCGACUGCUCGUUAUUUCCCGAAACGAGCUCCUCCAUCCUCCUGCUUGCCUGAAACUCAGCUCUCAGAUGCUCUCCACAGAGCAGCCCGUCUGGCUCUAGUGCCCUGUUUCAUUUAAACCUCAUCUGCCACUCAGCGAGGGUUGGAAAGGGCUGGAGACAAGCCCCGGGACUGCGGGAGGGCUCCAAGGGGAAGUUUUUCUUUGGGGACACCAGCCACUUCCAGCUCGGGUGAAGUAAAUAAGAUCACAUCGGCACAGAGCCGCGUCUGAGCCCUUUUAUCGCUGAGCCCUCGGCGCCUGCCUUGCUGCAGACUUCUGCUAGCGAAAGGUCACUGGGCCCCAUCCUUCCAUUAUCCGCACAGGAAUGCGCAUCGAGGGGUCAUUUCGGGAUGAGCCGGAGGGAAGGGAAUAAUUAGCCGCGUUCAUAAAAUAUUACUCAGUAUUGGCUGGUAUUUCUGCUGCCCCCUCAAACAAACGGGCUCACACUGCAGGGGUGCAGAGGCUCACGCGCAGGACCCUGAGCCCUGCCUUGUUGUCCCAGGCCUGCUGGGAGGAAAGUUUUUGGUUUUGCCUUCGUGGAAGGACUCCAGAGCUACCUGUGCUCCGUCUCCUAUGCCUUUGCCCUUCUGUACCCAACCUUUUCUCCAACAGCCUCCCUCCUUGACGAGCAGCCCUUCCCGCUAGCAGCUCUCCCUGACCCUUAAUCUCCCUGCUGCUGCUGCCUCACAUUAGCAUCCCUUUCU